rnacentral:rRNA from 1 species
AGAGUUUGAUCCUGGCUCAGAACGAACGCUGGCGGCAUGCCUAACACAUGCAAGUCGAGCGCGUGUAGCAAUACACGAGUGGCGCACGGGUGAGUAACGCGUGGGAACCUGCCCUGGAGUGGGGGAUAACCCGGCGAAAGCCGGGCUAAUACCGCAUACGACCUAAGGGUGAAAGAUUUAUCGCUCUGGGAGGGGCCCGCGUCGGAUUAGCUAGUUGGUGAGGUAACGGCUCACCAAGGCGAUGAUCCGUAGCUGGUCUGAGAGGAUGAUCAGCCACACUGGGACUGAGACACGGCCCAGACUCCUACGGGAGGCAGCAGUGGGGAAUAUUGGACAAUGGGGGCAACCCUGAUCCAGCAAUGCCGCGUGAGUGAUGAAGGCCUUAGGGUUGUAAAGCUCUUUCGGCGGGGACGAUGAUGACGGUACCCGCAGAAGAAGCCCCGGCUAACUUCGUGCCAGCAGCCGCGGUAAUACGAAGGGGGCGAGCGUUGUUCGGAAUUACUGGGCGUAAAGGGCGCGCAGGCGGCCUGAGAAGUCAGAUGUGAAAGCCCCGGGCUCAACCUGGGAAUAGCAUUUGAUACUCUGAGGCUGGAGUGCGGGAGAGGAGAGUGGAAUUCCCAGUGUAGAGGUGAAAUUCGUAGAUAUUGGGAAGAACACCGGUGGCGAAGGCGGCUCUCUGGACCGUAACUGACGCUGAGGCGCGAAAGCGUGGGGAGCAAACAGGAUUAGAUACCCCCGUAGUCC